rnacentral:rRNA from 1 species
GACGAACGCUGGCGGCGUGCUUAACACAUGCAAGUCGAACGGUAAGGCCCUUCGGGGUACACGAGUGGCGAACGGGUGAGUAACACGUGGGUGAUCUGCCCUGCACUUCGGGAUAAGCCUGGGAAACUGGGUCUAAUACCGGAUAGGACCACUGCCUGCAUGGGUGGUGGUGGAAAGCUUUUGCGGUGUGGGAUGGGCCCGCGGCCUAUCGGCUUGUUGGUGGGGGGAUGGCCUACCAAGGCGACGGCGGGUAGCCGGCCUGAGAGGAUGACCGGCCACACUGGGACGGAGAUACGGCCCAGGCUCCUACGGGAGGCAGCAGUGGGAAUAUUGCACAAUGGGCGCAAGCCUGAUGCAGCGACGCCGCGUGAGGGAUGACGGCCUUCGGGUUGUAAACCUCUUUCAGCACCGACGAAGCGCAAGUGACGGUAGGUGCAGAAGAAGGACCGGCCAACUACGUGCCAGCCGCCGCCGUAA